rnacentral:rRNA from 1 species
CCCUUAGAUGUUCUGGGCCGCACGCGUGCUACACUGAGUAAUUCAAUGGGUAAGGGAACGCUAGAGCGUUACCUAAUCUUGAAAUUUGCUCGUGAUGGGGAUCGACGGUUGCAAUUUUCCGUCGUGAACGAGGAAUACCUUGUAGGCGCAUGUCAUCAUCAUGCGCCGAAUACGUCCCUGCCCUUUGUACACACCGCCCGUCGCUCCUACCGAUUGAGUGAUCCGGUGAGGCUCUGGGACCUGGACGGAAAGAGCGUUUCGCUUGUUCUGUUUGGGAAACUUGGUCGAACCUUAUCAUUUAGAGGAAGGAGAAGUCGUAACA